AUGGAUCACACGGUGGAGGCCUCCAUGAGCGCCACCCUGCUGAGCCUUCUCGGCGUCACGGCCAAGUCGGAGAAGGGCGCGGCGGCGACGGAAGACAAGGUGGAGUGGCUCCGGUCGCAGCUGAUCGGCAAGGACGUCGAGUUCGACACGCCGUUCGGGCGCCGUGCGCUGACUUACGCCGACCAAACGGCGUCCGGCCGGAGCCUGAGCUACAUCGAGGACUAUCUCGUGAAACAGGUCCUCCCGUUCUACGGAAACACGCACACGGAUGACAGCCACGUUGGGAGCAAGACGACGCGGCUGGUGCACAAGGCGGCGCGCUACAUCAAGCGCUGCAUGGGCGCCGGCCCCGGCGACGCGCUCAUCUUCUGCGGCGCCGGCACGACCGCGGCCAUCAAGCGCCUGCAGGAGAUCAUCGGCGUGGCAUUGCCGUCCGUCGAGAUGCGCAACCGGCUUUCGGCGCAACUGCGUGCCGAGGAGCGGUGGGUGGUCUUCGUCGGGCCGUACGAGCACCACUCCAACCUUCUGUCGUGGCGCCAGAGCCUGGCGGAGGUGGUUGAGAUCGGCGUCGACGCCGAUGGACUCGUCGACGUCGCCGCGCUCCGCCGCGCCCUCGGAUCGCCAGAGUACGCGGAUCGACCCAUGCUGGGAUCUUUCUCGACGUGCAGCAACGUCACCGGCGUCAUGACGGACACGCGCGAGAUCGCCCGCGUUCUUCACCAGCACGGCGCGUUCGCAUGCUUCGACUUCGCCGCGAGUGGACCCUAUGUCAAGAUCGAUAUGAAGUCUGGUGAAACUGAUGGGUAUGAUGCCGUUUUCUUGAGCCCUCACAAAUUUGUCGGGGGACCGGGCACACCAGGCAUCCUUCUCAUGAACAAAUCAUUGUAUAAGUUCCAUUCCCAGCCUCCCUCAACGUGCGGAGGCGGCACAGUGGCCUAUGUCAAUGGCUUCAAUGAGGAGGAUACACUAUACUACGAUGAUAUCGAGGAGCGUGAGGAUGCUGGCACACCGCCGAUACUGCAAAAGAUCCAUGCAUCGCUUGCGUUCUGGGUGAAGGAGUAUGUUGGGUAUGACACGAUGGACCUUCGCGAGCGAGUGUUCUCAGAGAUGGCAAUGAAAAGGCUUGUCAAUAGUCCAAAUGUUAGGGUGCUAGGCAACACAAGUGCCCAUCGUAUACCAGUCUUCUCAUUCCUAAUUUACCCAUCAGUAACCGUGAAGAAGCCAUUUGAUGAUUUUGAUGAGCCUGGUUGUGAUAAACAAUUGGAUACGAUGAGGCACAAGCAACUACCUCUCCAUGGUCGUUUUGUGACUAGGCUUUUGAAUGAUCUUUUUGGCAUCCAAGCGAGGGAGGUUGUGCUUGCGCAGGCCCCUAUGGCCACACAUUGCUCAAUGUCGAGAACGAGCUCUCACUUCGCAUUCGGUCCGCUGUCCUUGAGGGUUUCAAUGGACUGA
rnacentral:rRNA from 1 species